GCACUAGUAGCUCAGCCCCCAGAGCAUCG
rnacentral:tRNA from 1 species